rnacentral:rRNA from 1 species
GGGAUUAGUGGCGGACGGGUGAGUAACACGUGGGAACGUGCCCUUUGGUUCGGAACAACUCAGGGAAACUUGAGCUAAUACCGGAUGUGCCCUUCGGGGGAAAGAUUUAUCGCCAUUGGAGCGGCCCGCGUCUGAUUAGCUAGUUGGUGAGGUAAAGGCUCACCAAGGCGACGAUCAGUAGCUGGUCUGAGAGGAUGAUCAGCCACAUUGGGACUGAGACACGGCCCAAACUCCUACGGGAGGCAGCAGUGGGGAAUCUUGCGCAAUGGGCGAAAGCCUGACGCAGCCAUGCCGCGUGAAUGAUGAAGGUCUUAGGAUUGUAAAAUUCUUUCACCGGGGACGAUAAUGACGGUACCCGGAGAAGAAGCCCCGGCUAACUUCGUGCCAGCAGCCGCGGUAAUACGAAGGGGGCUAGCGUUGCUCGGAAUUACUGGGCGUAAAGGGAGCGUAGGCGGACUGUUAAGUUAGAGGUGAAAGCCCAGGGCUCAACCUUGGAAUUGCCUUUGAUACUGGCAGUCUUGAGUACGGAAGAGGUAUGUGGAACUCCGAGUGUAGAGGUGAAAUUCGUAGAUAUUCGGAAGAACACCAGUGGCGAAGGCGACAUACUGGUCCGUUACUGACGCUGAGGCUCGAAAGCGUGGGGAGCAAACAGGAUUAGAUACCCUGGUAGUCCACGCCGUAAACGAUGAGUGCUAGUUGUCGGCAUGCAUGCAUGUCGGUGACGCAGCUAACGCAUUAAG